GCCUAGUUAGCGCAGUAGGCAGCGUGUCAGUCUCAUAAUCUGAAGGUCGUGAGUUCGAUCCUCACACGAGGCA
rnacentral:tRNA from 1 species